rnacentral:tRNA from 1 species
CCCUGAAUGUUCAGAUGGUAAAGAAUCUGCCUGCAAUGCAAGAGACCCAGGUUCAAUCCCUGGAUCAGGUA